rnacentral:rRNA from 1 species
GCAUAUCAAUAAGCGGAGGAAAAGAAAAUAACCAUGAUUGCCUUAGUAACGGCGAGUGAAGAGGCAAAAGCUCAAGUUUGGAAGCUCAGUGGUUUAACCACUGCGCAUUGUAAACUGAAAACAGGAUCAAUCAGGUACACCGGGUGAUAAGUUCCUUGGAAUAGGACAUCAUGGAGGGUGAGAAUCCCGUCUUUGACCCGAGUUCAAGUAUCUUUUGUAUUGGCCUGUUCAAGAGUCAGGUUGUUUGGGAAUGCAGCCUAAAGCUGGAGGUAAAUCCCUCCUGAAGCUAAAUAAUGGCGAGAGACCGAUAGCGAACAAGUACCGUGAGGGAAAGAUGAAAAGAACUCUGAAGAGAGAGUUAAACAGUACGUGAAAUUGCUUAAAGGGAAGCAUAUAAAGCUAGGAUGCGAUUGUUUUCUUCAGGUUGAGCUUUGGCUUGACUGUUCAGAAGGAUAAUCCGAGACAACAAGAAUUGAAGGAGGAGAAUAAGCCGUUAGGGAAGGUAGUCCUUCGGGAUGUUUAUAGACCUGGCGGUUCGCUGCUCUUCUUUCGAUUGAGGUACGCUUUUUUAAAGGUUGUUGUCUGAAUGGCUUUAUAUGGCCCGUCUUGAAACACGGACCAAGGAGUCCACCUAAUGUGCGAGUAUUUGGGAGGUAAACCCAUAUGCGCAAUGAAAGUGACUUAUCCUAUGAGAGGGUCCCUCGGGGCCUUUGCAAUAGGGUCGGGCAGGGACGUUUUAUACUGAACUGACUCAGACUAAGCACAUUGGAUGGGACCCGAAAGAUGGUGAACUAUGCUUGGAUAGGGUGAAGCCAAAGGAAACUUUGGUGGAGGCUCGUAGCGAUUCUGACGUGCAAAUCGAUCGUCGAAUCUGAGCAUAGGGGCGAAAGACUAAUCGAACCAUCUAGUAGCUGGUUCCUGCG